GACAAACGCUGGCGGCGUGCCUAACACAUGCAAGUCGAACGGAGACACGAUUUCGGUUGUAUCUUAGUGGCGAACGGGUGAGUAACGCGUGAACAACCUGACUCUUAGAGGGGGAUAACACUCGGAAACGGGUGCUAAUACCGCAUAAGACCACGACCCGGCAUCGGGAUGAGGUCAAAGGAGCAAUCCGCUGAGAGAGGGGUUCGCGUCCCAUUAGAUAGAUGGCGGGGUAACGGCCCACCAUGUCAACGAUGGGUAGCCGAGCUGAGAGGCUGAUCGGCCACACUGGAACUGAGACACGGUCCAGACUCCUACGGGAGGCAGCAGUGGGGAAUAUUGGGCAAUGGGCGCAAGCCUGACCCAGCAACGCCGCGUGAGGGAAGAAGGCUUUCGGGUUGUAAACCUCUGUCCUUGGUGACGAAACAAAUGACGGUAGCCAAGGAGGAAGCCCCGGCUAACUACGUGCCAGCAGCCGCGGUAA
rnacentral:rRNA from 1 species